rnacentral:lncRNA from 1 species
CUAUAUUUCGGCUGAGAGAUGAGCCGAAUAGCUAGGACAAAAACGAGAUCUGGUCGGCCUGAGGAGCCGAAAACGACUUUCUAUUAAUAAGAAGGGAGUGAUGCCCGGAGGGCAGACAGACUCCGAGGUGUACAAGGGAGUGAUGCCCCGAGGGCAAACAGACUCCAAGGUGUUUACAAUGAAGUGAUGCCCGGAGGGCAGACAGACUCCAAGGAGGCUAAGUUACAAGAACUACUCCUAGGCAAAAGCGAGAAAUGCAGGAAAAAUAAAGGUGGUCUUUUGUGCGCAGGGGCGAAGACUCGUUUUC